ACAGUAAUUUAUGCCAAACAGACAACAUACAGCAUCAAUAUCCCAGUCAUUCAAUCCAUAAUCAGUAAAACAGUAAAAUAUGCACACAAAACUAUAAAAUGAAAACAUCAAACCUCAUACUGCAUUUAAAAUUGUAAAACAGGCCAAAUAACAGUUAACCGACAAACACACUAGACUCGGGCUCCAUUAGCGACCUUAAGCAAUUUCACACAUUCGUUGAUUCAUGAAAUACCGUUUUAUCAUUUAUUGAACUUUAAUACCGUGAUAGGAAAUAGGGUGAGGGGUCCUUACUCGUUUCGGGGUCCGAACACGGCUUCACAGUGCGCCUACAGGCUGUCCCUAAUUUUCCUUGAAUUUUUUCCGGGGAACUGAAACGCACUACUGGUACCUGCACGUGUUCCAAAAAAUCCCAAAUUAGGCCCAGAGCCCCUUUUUGGCCAAU
rnacentral:lncRNA from 1 species